UACGAAGGGGGCUAGCGUUGUUCGGAAUUACUGGGCGUAAAGCGCGUGUAGGCGGGUCUUUAAGUCAGGGGUGAAAUGCCGAGGCUCAACCUUGGAACUGCCUUUGAUACUGGAGACCUUGAGUCCGGGAGAGGUGAGUGGAAUUGCGAGUGUAGAGGUGAAAUUCGUAGAUAUUCGCAAGAACACCAGUGGCGAAGGCGGCUCACUGGCCCGGAACUGACGCUGAGACGCGAAAGCGUGGGGAGCAAACAGG
rnacentral:rRNA from 1 species